rnacentral:rRNA from 1 species
GCAUAAUCAUUUGCCUUCUAAUUAAAGGAUAGUAUGAAAGGAACCACGAAAUUUAAGCUGUCUUACUUAUACCUUUGGAAAUUAAAUUUCAGGUGAAGAUGCCUGAAUUAUUUUGAAAGACAAGAAGACCCUAUAGAAUUUCAGUCUGAAGGCCCUCUUUUGGAUAAAUACUUUUGUUGGGGCAACCAAGGAUUAAAAAAAACAUCCUAUAAAAAAAGAAUUUUUAUUUCUCUAUCUUGAUCCCCAAGGAUCGAUAAAAUAAAUUACCUUAGGGAUAACAGGCUAAUCUUCUUUAAGAGUUCUAAUCGACAAGAAAGUUUGGCACCUCGAUGUUGGCUUAGGGACACCUAAAGCUGCAAAAAGUUUUUCGGUUAGUUUGUUCAACUAUUAAUCCCCU